GAGAAAACCCUUACAAGGCAAGAGAACUGAGCAUGUGCAAGACUCCUUACUAAACGAAGGAGGGCAGAGGAGUGCCGUUUUGGAAAUAUCAAGGGGAAUGAAAAGAGAAAGAGAAUUGACGGGAGAGAGAGGAAUCUGCCCACACUCAGGGGAUCAUCCAGAAUUCACAGAUGAACAGGGUGCACUCAAGGAAGACUGCCCCUCCAUCAGAGCACCACCCCUCAGUGACUGCUGACGUGUAAGACACUUCCAGCAUCUUUUUACCAGGCCCCACCCUUGGGGAUGCCCAGACCAAGAUAUCACUCUUUGCACUAAGUGACUCCUGAGAUACCAGCCCUUUACCUGACUUACAUUCUGUCAUCCUGCAUCAGAAUUGUUUCGAAUUUUUAGAGGUAUUGUGUUAUAAUGGUGUUCAAUGAAGUUGGAAGAAUUCUGGCUCUGCUGCUUAGAAACUGGCAAGUUACCUGAUUUCUUGGGACCUCCAUUCUCUCAUCUGUAAAUUAGGACUAAUAAUACCUACAAUGCAGGAUAUUUGUUAGGAUUACACAUUAGUUGGUACUCAAUAAAUGGCAGCUAUUGAAAAGCAGUGUAGUAUGGUGGUUAAAA
ensembl:lncRNA novel transcript